AACGAACGCUGGCGGCAUGCCUAACACAUGCAAGUCGAACGAGACCUUCGGGUCUAGUGGCGCACGGGUGCGUAACGCGUGGGAACCUGCCCUUAGGUUCGGAAUAACUCCCCGAAAGGGGUGCUAAUACCGGAUAAUGUCUUCGGACCAAAGAUUUAUCGCCUUUGGAUGGGCCCGCGUUGGAUUAGCUAGUUGGUAGGGUACAAGCCUACCAAGGCGACGAUCCAUAGCUGGUCUGAGAGGAUGAUCAGCCACACUGGGACUGAGACACGGCCCAGACUCCUACGGGAAGCAGCAGUAGGGAAUAUUGGACAAGGGGCGAAAGCCUGAUCCAGCAAUGCCGCGUGAGUGAUGAAGGCCUUAGGGUUGUAAAGCUCUUUUACCCGGGAUGAUAAUGACAGUACCGGGAGAAUAAGCUCCGGCUAACUACGUG
rnacentral:rRNA from 1 species